rnacentral:rRNA from 1 species
CUGGCGGCGUGCCUAAUACAUGCAAGUCGAACGAGUUCUCGUUGAUGAUCGGUGCUUGCACCGAGAUUCAACAUGGAACGAGUGGCGGACGGGUGAGUAACACGUGGGUAACCUGCCCUUAAGUGGGGGAUAACAUUUGGAAACAGAUGCUAAUACCGCAUAGAUCCAAGAACCGCAUGGUUCUUGGCUGAAAGAUGGCGUAAGCUAUCGCUUUUGGAUGGACCCGCGGCGUAUUAGCUAGUUGGUGAGGUAAUGGCUCACCAAGGCGAUGAUACGUAGCCGAACUGAGAGGUUGAUCGGCCACAUUGGGACUGAGACACGGCCCAAACUCCUACGGGAGGCAGCAGUAGGGAAUCUUCCACAAUGGACGCAAGUCUGAUGGAGCAACGCCGCGUGAGUGAAGAAGGCUUUCGGGUCGUAAAACUCUGUUGUUGGAGAAGAAUGGUCGGCAGAGUAACUGUUGUCGGCGUGACGGUAUCCAACCAGAAAGCCACGGCUAACUACGUGCCAGCAGCCGCGGUAAUACGUAGGUGGCAAGCGUUAUCCGGAUUUAUUGGGCGUAAAGCGAGCGCAGGCGGUUUUUUAAGUCUGAUGUGAAAGCCCUCGGCUUAACCGAGGAAGCGCAUCGGAAACUGGGAAACUUGAGUGCAGAAGAGGACAGUGGAACUCCAUGUGUAGCGGUGAAAUGCGUAGAUAUAUGGAAGAACACCAGUGGCGAAGGCGGCUGUCUGGUCUGUAACUGACGCUGAGGCUCGAAAGCAUGGGUAGCGAACAGGAUUAGAUACCCUGGUAGUCCAUGCCGUAAACGAUGAAUGCUAGGUGUUGGAGGGUUUCCGCCCUUCAGUGCCGCAGCUAACGCAUUAAGCAUUCCGCCUGGGGAGUACGACCGCAAGGUUGAAACUCAAAGGAAUUGACGGGGGCCCGCACAAGCGGUGGAGCAUGUGGUUUAAUUCGAAGCAACGCGAAGAACCUUACCAGGUCUUGACAUCUUUUGAUCACCUGAGAGAUCAGGUUUCCCCUUCGGGGGCAAAAUGACAGGUGGUGCAUGGUUGUCGUCAGCUCGUGUCGUGAGAUGUUGGGUUAAGUCCCGCAACGAGCGCAACCCUUAUGACUAGUUGCCAGCAUUUAGUUGGGCACUCUAGUAAGACUGCCGGUGACAAACCGGAGGAAGGUGGGGAUGACGUCAAAUCAUCAUGCCCCUUAUGACCUGGGCUACACACGUGCUACAAUGGAUGGUACAACGAGUUGCGAGACCGCGAGGUCAAGCUAAUCUCUUAAAGCCAUUCUCAGUUCGGACUGUAGGCUGCAACUCGCCUACACGAAGUCGGAAUCGCUAGUAAUCGCGGAUCAGCACGCCGCGGUGAAUACGUUCCCGGGCCUUGUACACACCGCCCGUCACACCAUGAGAGUUUGUAACACCCGAAGCCGGUGGCGUAACCCUUUUAGGGAGCGAGCCGUCUAAGGUGGACAAAUGAUUAG